AGAUGCGCAUGACAAUCGCAUGUAAUAUAUCGUGUGCAGCCCUACUCCCAGAUGUCCUUCACUCCGGUGCCGGGACAUGAUGGACCCUGGGUUCACCAGCAGCGGAAGAUGCGAGCCAGGCCCCGGGCGAUGACCUCUCCCCCUCCGCAGCCUCUGGCCUUCGAGAUCUCCACCCGGAACUGCUUCGCUCCACUCCACAAGAUGAAACACGACGCUGUGAUCGUCGGAGACUCCAUCGUCCAGAACGACCGUGCUACGUUAGCUGAAGGUAAAGUGCACACUCACUGUUUCCCUGGUGCUCGUGUUCUCGAUGUUUCUGCACAGAUACCCGCGAUCCUGUAGGGCGACGAGAGCAUCGGCGCUGUCUUGCUGCACGCGGGGGUUAACGACACCAAGCUGCGGCAGAUGGAGGCACUGAAGAGGGACUUCAGGAGCCUGAUCGAGACGGUACGCAGCACAUUGCCCACGACGACGCCCAUCGUGUCAGGACCGCUACGCGCCAUAUGACUAGGACUAAACCUACCUGAAAGCAGUGAAAACAGCAGAGAGAUGGACUCUCCCUGCUUGUCAGCUGAGUGAGUUGGCGCCCCGUUUUCAUGAGCUGGAGCGGAUCUCCUGUCGAAGAACAUCUCCAAGGCGCUAUGAACCAUCUUUUUGUUCAAGCAGACUUUGUUGCUUGUGGAAACCUCACGCGAGCCUGAAAGGACAGUUCGUGAAGACAGAUAAUCAAAAGAUGUUGUGACAACCUGGACAGAAGUCAGAUCCAGAUCCAGGGGUUUGUUUUUUAUAGUUUUUGUGGAAG